CAGUAGCCGCGGUAAAACGUAGGUGGCAAGCGUUGUCCGGAAUUAUUGGGCGUAAAGGGCUCGCAGGCGGUUUCUUAAGUCUGAUGUGAAAGCCCCCGGCUCAACCGGGGAGGGUCAUUGGAAACUGGGGAACUUGAGUGCAGAAGAGGAGAGUGGAAUUCCAUGUGUAGCGGUGAAAUGCGUAGAGAUGUGGAGGAACACCAGUGGCGAAGGCGACUCUCUGGUCUGUAACUGACGCUGAGGAGCGAAAGCGUGGGGAGCGAACAGGAUUAGAUACCCGCGUAGUCCCUGUCUCUUAUAC
rnacentral:rRNA from 1 species